GGUGAGAACCAGGUUUCUAAUUUCUUUUACUCUCAAUGGCAAGGAAUGUAUUGUUUCAUACAGAAACUAGUAACGCAUAACGUGCUGGUACAAAUUUGUCCAAGGAAUUAAAAGCUCCCAAUACAAACAUCAGAGUUUCCAUAUCUCAAUACGUAUGUCCAAAUUAGUGGUAUACAAACCCUCAAUGCCAUCACUCAGCCUUGGCUGGAAUGUGGUUGCCA
rnacentral:misc_RNA from 1 species